AGUGAACGCUGGCGGUAGGCCUAACACAUGCAAGUCGAACGGCAGCACAGUAAGAGCUUGCUCUUACGGGUGGCGAGUGGCGGACAGGUGAGGAAUACAUCGGAAUCUACUUUUUCGUGGGGGAUAACGUAGGGAAACUUACGCUAAUACCGCAUACGACCUACGGGUGAAAGCAGGGGAUCUUCGGACCUUGCGCGAUUGAAUGGGCCGAUGUCGGAUUUGCUAGUUGGCGGGGUAAAGGCCCACCAAGGCGACGAUCCGUAGCUGGUCUGAGAGGAUGAUCAGCCACACUGGAACUGAGACACGGUCCAGACUCCUACGGGAGGCAGCAGUGGGGAAUAUUGGACAAUGGGCGCAAGCCUGAUCCAGCCAUACCGCGUGGGUGAAGAAGGCCUUCGGGUUGUAAAGCCCUUUUGUUGGGAAAGAAAAGCAGCAGGUUAAUACCCCGCUGUUCUGACGGUACCCAAAGAAUAAGCACCGGCUAACUUCGUG
rnacentral:rRNA from 1 species